AGCUCUGUGGUGUACGACAUGUCAGAUUGCAAAUCUGAAGGCGCAGGCUUACCACCUGCCGGGGCUU
rnacentral:tRNA from 1 species